rnacentral:lncRNA from 1 species
UUUAGCACCUUUCUCUUUCUUUUUCAUUUUGGACAAGACCUUGAACACUCCAUCACCAACCCCUAACCUAGACCCCUCCCAGCCAUUACACACAGAGAACCCCCCCAUCUUCUUCUCUAGCGCCAACAGCCGUUCAACAUAUACACAGCCCCAACCCUGAACGUCUUCUUCUACAGGAACUUACAAAACCAACGAAAAGAAUCCAUCACCUUCUUCUCCAUCAAGAUCAAAACCAUCAGACCCCCGCUUCUUCAUUUUUCGAUUCCGAUUCCAACAGAGAAGCAACUCCGCUGCACUACCCUUCAACCAAACCGGCCAUGAACGCCGGCGGAACCCCCACCCUUUCCCUCUGGUCGUCCACCCAUGACCUUUCUUCCUCUCACUUUCUUCCUUAUCAUGUUCUCACAUAUUUGUAGAUAGGAUAAUGGAAUCACAUCGGAAAUGGUAAGUCUUGCCUUAAAUGGAGAUUAAUAGUAGCGAAACCUUCAGAUCCGACGCCUUUUUUGAAACCUUCAGAUCUGGUCUUCAUCUUCUGUCUUCUUUUGAAAAAUCCAGCGGGUUUUCUCUUUGUCACUGUUGAACCGAACUUGUACCAGCUUAAUCAUUUGAGUUUUCCAGCGAGGUUUUCCGGUCGAGGCCGUUGGCAUAGUUUCUAAUCCGGUCAAGGUCCUGUUCAGUUAAUCAUUUUGCGAUUCAGAGAUUUAAAGUUGAGCUUCAUUUUCUGUCACUCUGCUUGCACUUGAAUCAUAGCUUCCACGUUCAAGAUGGGUCGGUUCUGUCUUGUAGUGCAGCAAUCAAAGGCUCUUUAUUAAUAAAGUGGAAAAGCUUUGCUUGACAGAGGUCAUUUUCUUCUCUGAAUUCACUUUUGGUUUCAUAUGAUGCUUUCACUGUUUUUUUAGCUUUUUUUUUUGUUUUGUUUCGUUUGAAUUCCAUUGAUAGCUCACCAAAUUAUUUUGCUGCCUAUGUUUUGAUCAAAAGCAUUACUAGAAAUUGUAUGAGUUAGACUAAUAUGCACGUGUUCACUUAAUGAUUGGAAAUUACUGAUUCGCAUAUUUCCUCACUUUACGUACUCCAAUUGCCUUUUUAGUUAAAAUAAUUUUUGGAAAAUGCACGAAUGAGGGAAGUCGAGUAAGUUUUGAUGAAAUAAACUUGUGGUCGUAUUUUUCCUUUGCUUUCUUCUGUAAUCAUAUGGUCCUUAUUUGAUUUCAGUUAGAUAAUGAAAGUUGAAAUUUAAAAAAAUAUUGAAAAACAAAUGAUAGUUGCAUAAUGGUAAUUGAUGAUAUUUUGGGCUUUAGAUUUAUAAGCCACAAUAGUUACACGGAUUUGGGUUUAAGUACUAAAAUAAGCUGGCCUUGAUUUCAUACUUAUUCUAUAAAAAAUACUUCAAUAACUUCAUAUUCACAACCUCUUGGCCUACAGUGAUCCCAAAUCUUAGGAAAUAAUUAAUUCAUAAAUACUCGUAGUGUGUUUUUGGCGUGUUAUAAUGAAAUUAUCACGGUUACGGAUACGGUUCCUGUGACGUAGUUGUGAUACAUAAUUUCCAUAUUCGGGGGUACAUUUAUGUAACCCGGACACAACUUCUAAUUAUGUUAAUAAAAUAAACAUAUUGUAAACCGCGGGUGCAUUUCAUGUGACGCGAUUCGCAAUAUGGUCAAAAACGAAAAGUGCACGCCAAUCGUGCCUUAUUUCCAAAAAAGAAUUCAUAAAUAAUAAAAGCGGUUUAAAAGUUAAAAUUGCUCAUAGGUUUAAAUUGUGUAAUAAAUCAGAUAGUUAGGCCAAAUAUUAAUAGUUGAGCGGCCGUGCUAAAACUACGGAACUCGGGAAUGCCUAACACCUUCUCUCGGGUUAACAGAAUUCCUUAUCCGGAUUUCUGUGUUUCGCGAAUUAUAAAACAUAGUCAAACUUCCUCGAUUCAGGAUUUUAAACCGGUGACUUGGGACACCAUAAUUAUCCCAUGUGGCGACUCUGAAUAAAUAAAUAACCCCGUUUCGAUUCUGUCACUUUAGUUGGAAAAACUUUCUUAUACCCCCUUUCGGGUAGAAAAAGGAGGUGUGACAGCUCUGGCGACUCUGCUGGGGAUCGAACCCAAAAUCUCUGGUUCAGUUCAAGAAUUUGAGCUUAGAAUAAUUGUUAUAUUUGGCUUUUAUUUAUUAUCUGAUUUUUAUUACAUGUUUGGGCCUAAUGUGAAAAAUGUCACUUUUUAUCGCUUUGAUAUUAUUUGAAUUGUAUAUAAACUAUUGCGAAACCCUUCUCUUCUAAUCUUCUGGGAAGUGCACGCUGGCGUGACUCCUUUUCUGUUAGUGUCAUACCCUAAUUUAGAAUGAGGUUUGGACAAGUUACAAAGCCGGAUGACCUUUUGGUUCCCGGUACGUAGACCCCAUUCAGCUCGAGUUGUCCGCUCGGGUAAGCCAGAUCUAGUACAAUACACCCAGAAUUAAAACUUAGAAUAACAUAACUUCAUGCCGGAUCCCUAGUAGGAACGCUUGUUUGCAUCACGUGUAUUUGACCUUGGGGACUCAACACAGGGGUUGAGUCCGUCUAGGACAGGUGUACCCAAAAAAUAAAAGGCCAACCUGAUACAUUCUAUGUGCUACAUGUUGCAAUCUUCAAGGAUAAAAGGGGUCGCUUGCAGACCGAUGAUGGUUGAGGGUAAAUGAGAGAGAAAAGAAGGUGAGAACAUGUUUACACAUGAAAAAUCCAAAAAGAGUUUACAUGUUUCAUCAUUUUCCCAAAAAAAGAAGAAGAAGAAUGAGCCGCACGACCUGAAGGUGAGAUACACAAAGCAACCAUUUCCAUAAAAAACCUUCAGCAUCGAUCUUCUUCUCAAAACACACACAACUCACCAAAUCUUCAGCACCUUCACAACCUAACACCCCUAAACACCUCUUAACCAGCCGAGAACAACCCCAUCUCCAGCCGUCCAACUUCCUCUCCAAUGCGCCACUGCUUCUGUCCAAACGACCCAUUUCCAAAAAACCAGCUCUGCAUAUGGUCAUUUCCAUGUUACAAUCUCUCGCUACCACCACAUAACCACCGUAGCUUCACCCUUCCACCACGACUCCUCCAUUUCUUUUAGCUUCGCCAAGCUCCAUCGGAGAAGUCCAAACCCGCAAAUCUGUUAGAUGUCGUAAAAAGAAAACAAAUUUGAAAAAUACUAUGAAGCACAACCACAAAUGGUCAUGUUCUUUUGGAUUUCAAAAGCAGUAGAACAUUAGAUUCAACGUUGAGAUUAUGGAGUAUUGAUUUUGUCGAGUACAACAAGGUCGGGUGAGUGGCCGUAUAAAAAAGCGAGGUUGUCGUCGGAAUUUCCGAUUUGAGGUUUCCGGUCAAAAGUUCCUGAUGUUACUUCUUUGACCGGAUUCAAUUGUCGGAAUUCUAUUUUUGCCGUCAACAUCUUUUGUGGGUAAUUCUCCAAGGAUACUUUUAUUGGAAAAGCUAAUUGAAAGGUCAACUUCCCUUCUCUUAAACUCUCGAUCUUUAUUUUAUUAAUAAUUUUGUGAUAGGCCGUGAUUGAGUUUGAAUUAAGUGUGGCAGUGUUAAUUACCACUACUACUAUAUGUGUGGUGUAUUUUCUAUGUUCUUGCUUAGAGUUUUUAGAUUUUACAAGAAAUCAUGAGCUGCUCUCUCUUUCAAUUUGGUUACUUUUUGUUCCAGAGGAUUUGUUUUCAUUUGGAGCUUACUUAGUUUGGAAAAUUAGAAAUGGAGAACUGAAUGAGGCAUAAAUAGAAUUACAAAUUGGGCAGUGGAGUUGGGUAUUAAGAUAAAAGAUGAUUUGAGCUUAAAAUUUUAUUAUUUCACUUUCAUUAAUCGUCCGCUAGGAGCAUGCUUAGACUGACCACACCCGGGUAGGCGAA